rnacentral:lncRNA from 1 species
GUCCAAGACGAAUAACCAAGAAGUUGGUUAUUGACUUCGAGAGAAAUGACAUUACGAUAAUUUUAUUGCAACGCCCGAGUGUACCGAUUGUUGUUGAACGCUAUUUAUAUAUUUUUGUGACGACAUUCAUUUCAUGGAAAACACCAUACAGCAUGGCUUGCAUGGGCAUGGACGCGAAGGAAAAACCAGCACAUCCAACCUUGAUCAACCUUGGUAAGAUGUUAUAACAACACACACUGUAACAUAAAUUGCAAUGCAACCUGAUACACCGAG